rnacentral:rRNA from 1 species
AUUGAACGCUGGCGGCAGGCCUAACACAUGCAAGUCGAACGAGUGGCGGACGGGUGAGUAAUUUCUGGGAAACUGCCCGAUGGAGGGGGAUAACUACUGGAAACGGUAGCUAAUACCGCAUACCAUCGGAUGUGCCCAGAUGGGAUUAGCUAGUAGGUGGGGUAACGGCUCACCUAGGCGACGAUCCCUAGCUGGUCUGAGAGGAUGACCAGCAAAACUGGAACUGAGACACGGUCCAGACGCGUACGGGAGGCAGCAGUGGGGAAUAUUGGACAAUGGGCGCAAGCCUGAUGCAGCAAUGCCGCGUGGAUGAAGAAGGCCUUCGGGUUGUAAAGUACUGUCAGCGAGGAGGCGUUACUCGAAGAAGAAGCAACGGCUAACUCCGUGCCAGCAGCCGCGGUAAUUC